GAUGUUCUUUAUAUGUUCUUUUUUAGUUAAAUUGCAGGAUAAAAGACUUAACAUAGGAUAAUACUUUGAGUACAGGGUCGUUUAUAUUUUAUUGCAGGAUAUCUAUCUGUUUGGAGGAACAUAUGAGUCCACAGAUGGCAAUAAAACACCAAAGAAUGAUAUCAUGAAAUUAAGUCUAGCAAAGAUGAAGUGGAAGAUACCACUUUACAUAGGGAUCCCCCCUGCACGCAGAUGGAGCCAUGUUGCAUUUUUCUUCAUAGCCAUCUCUAUAUCUUUGGUGGAGUAAAUGAAGAAGAAUUGAAUGAUAUAAUGGGGAUGAAAUUGAUAAACCCUUCAGACAGACAACCUUCUGCUCCAGACCCUUCCCCUUGCAGUGAUGACCAGCACUCUGGGCUGCUACUGGCCCAGCUGGCCCGCCAUGGCAACCACCAGCUGCUCCACGUUCGUCUGGGCCCUCCCAGCUCCACUACAUGGAGUGACCACCUGCCCUGCUGCAGCAUGCCAUCCCAGGGCCACUGUUGCUGCACAGCAGCUGCCUGAACCCCAUCCAGCUGGCUGGAACAUGGCAGGGGCAUCGAUGACGGGAUGCUGGACAUCACUGCCAGAGCCAUCUUUGCCCUCCUGGGCCUUCAGCCCUGCCAGCACACCUGGAAUGAUAAGGAGUGGCUGGAGGCAUCUCAGAUGAACCGGACCACCUUCUGGGACCUCCUGAAGCAGCUUUGGCCCCAUGGCAGAAUACCACCAUGUGGGUGCUCCUCCCAGUGGACACCCAUCUGGCCCUCACCCUGCUCAAACUGACCACACCCACCAGCCUCCACUACGUGGACCAUCUCUUUGGGAUGAGCAUGGCCACUUCCAGGGAGGCUGUCCUGGAGGUGGGCGGCACCCUCCAGGACAUGCUACUCUUGGUGAAUGAGCCCCUGCUGCUGGGGGUGGGGUUCUGUGUCCUGGAAACCCACAUCCUUGUCACCUGCCUGCCACACGGUGAUCACCCCUACUGCAGCCAGAAGGAUUUUCACUCCAUUGUGCUCCAGGCCAUUAUUGAUUACUGCAGCAUGUUCAGAAAUAUGCGUGUGAGCAGAGUAGGCAGUGCCCAUAAUGCCCACAUGUUUUACAGCUCUUUCCUGCCAGCCCUGGUGCAAAGCAGCCAGGAGUGCCGGACCUCCAAGUGGGUGCUGUGGUGGUCCUGCCCCUCCUCAUCGGGGAUCCCACCAAUCUGCUUGUGCCCUGGUUCAUGCGGCCCAGCACCAUCCAGCUGGACCCCUGCCAGGCCCACUUUAACUGGAGCCUAGGCUGGACAUGUGCCCUUGUAGAAUGUGCUUUCAUCUGCCUCCAGGGAUGCUGGCACACCCUCACCACCCACCUCGAGUUCACCAAGGAAAACAUCCCCCAGGUCAUCAUCACAGCCUACAUGCUGCAUAACAUGAGGCCUGAGGGGAGCUGGGGGGAGGCCGGGGUGGAGAAGGCACAGUGAGCAGAGGAUGCCUGGCAGUGGGAGCAUUAACUGCGGCAGCAGCAACAGCAGCAGUUCCCCCCUGCCUGCCAAUGGCCUGGGCAACCUGCACACCUGCCAGGGGGAGCCAAAGCACCAGGUGUGAGAGGCUCUGGUCCACCAGCUCCUCCUGCACUCCCUGCUGUAGCCCAUUUGGACACCUGCCCACAGACCAUCCAACCCCACCUCCUGCUCACCCCCAGCACCAGACUCACUGCAGACACACCUCAGAAGAACAAGAGUUUUUAUUCCCCUCCCAUCAAAUAGAACCCUGCUCCCCCCUCACUCCCCAACAACAGAGCCCCUCCAUAACCCACCACCCAUCCCACUCACCGACAAUAAAACACCCUCUUCC